UCAAAAAGAGUGGAGAGAUAGUAGACUCUACAUCUUCAUAUAUAAUCGUAUGUCUUUCUAAACUUUGAAAGUUGUAAAUAUAUUUUGUUUCUUUUACUUGUCAACUUAUGUAACUAACUUGUGAAGUGUUUCUUAAGGAACAAAUGGAUUCAAGGUUGUCACAAAUACCUGAUGAUGAACAAACCCUAGAAUCGCUAGAGGAUGUCUUUACUCAAAUACUAGGCAAAGAUAGGCAUGGCAUGGUAAGGAUGGGAGGACUUGGAACAUGCCCAACUAAGGUUAGACAAAGACAACAAUAUCAGGUGCCCCAAGAGUAGUAUGACCAAAUGCGUGCGCAAAUUAUUGUCGAGCUAGAAGAAAAAUUUCAAGCUCAAAUCCAAAGUCAAGUUCGAAUGCAAGUUCGUGCAAUACUUGAGGCAAUGGGACAUACACCACCGGCUCCAGACAAUACACCACAACCGAGACAACCAUCCUCGCAUGCUAGUGCUUUUGCCGCACAUGCAAGCACACCAUCACUCGAAGCUGAAUGCGCUGGAUUAUCGACACCAGAAUGUGGUCAUCAUUUAGAGAUCGACAAAAUAUGAUAUGCAAUUUUGGUUGGAGAAUGGCAUGGUAGCGUAAUCAAAGGUUAUCUGAGGUCACUUGGACAUGUUUUAGUUUAGAGUUGAUUUGUAUGUGCUUUUGUAUGGUAUUGCAUAAUGAAACGAGACAAGAUCGAUUUUUCUAAAUGAUGUUGUACUUAAAUAGAUUUAUUGUAUACAAUU